CUUCCAGUAGCACCUUAGAAACCAACUAAGUUUGUUAUUGGUAUGAGCUUUCGUACCACACGAAAUAACAAACUUAGUUGGUCUCUAAGGUGCUACUGGAAG